rnacentral:lncRNA from 1 species
ACUAUAACCUACAGUUUGAAGAAUGCAAAUCCAACGGUAGUCCUUGAUGAGAUCAGCUAUCAACAGUCUAAUCUGAGCUUGAAAUGGAGGGAAAGGAGAGUGGUGAGAUUUUAUAAUCCCAGUGAGUAAACAAACAUCAUUCAAAAGAUCUAAAGUCCGAGUAAAAGGAGACAAUUAAAAUAUUUCAUCUCAAUAUGUAUUUCAUAACAUAAAUAUUCAUUUCAUUUAAAUAUUCAACAUGGCUUAUGAGUAUUUUAAAAACUUGGCUCUUGCUAAAAUCAUUCUUGGGGAUACCUUGGCCGCGGCAUCUAACCGAGUCCGCCAAGGCUGUUAUACACGUAAAUAUAUUUUUAGUUUAAAAAGAACACAGCCGUUCCUUGACGUUAUCGGAGUUCAUUGUCACGAGGUGGUUCGGCGUGACGUAAACUCUAACCAUACCUCAGGAGAUACCCUACGUGCCUCUCCAACCGAGGUACAUAUAUAUAUCCAGAUUCUGUGCCCUUCUAAUAGGUUGGUCCACAGAACCUGCCCACUGCAGCAAGCUAAACCCACAAUACAAUAAAAUUUUAACAGCAUGGCAGGGCUAAUAUAAUACUACCCAGCCUACAAGGGUAAAAUAAAAUAAUUCAUACAAUUCAUAAAACACAGCCCAACCCGUCAUGCCAACACAAUAACACUAUAACAUAAGCCAUCAAUUUCUAAUCAAAAAUUUGCAACAUACCAGUGGUCUCCAAUUACUCUAUUUUCCAAAUCGUUAUUUUGUUUCAAGACAAUUUAUAAAGUCUUUUCAUUUAAACACAUUAUGUUUACAAAACAUAAAAAUUUACCAUUUUAACUCAUUUUCAUAAAAUUCACCAAAACUAAAUAAAGACAUACUUUAGACAAUUAAAAUGAUGGUAAGGUUACUCACAAUGUCUAGAGUGGGGAUUUUCGAAAUACUCAGACUACUGGUCCUCAGAUACAAUUCCCUUGCCUUUAUCGGAGGACUCACCACCUUGACACAGUACAAAAUCGAAAAAUUCACCACAUUGGUACUAAAUUGAAAUUAAACUAAUUUAUACUACUAAUGCAUGAUAUGGAAUGCAAAAGGUCUAAAUUUUGCCUAAACACCGUAUUGACCUAUUUCGGUCUUUUACUCGAUAAAUUGAAAUACGCAUCUAAUUUAGCUCCAAUUGAUCCCAUUUCUUUUUCUAAUGCUUCAAAUCGUCAAUGUCCAGCCAAAUAACCCAAAAAUCAGCAAAGCCACAUUCAUAUUCCUUCUUGGAAAAAUUUGGCCAAAAUGGUGCAUCACUGUCAUAAUUUUUCCUUACUUGNAAAACCAUGAUUUCAUAAUCAAAUAACCUAAAAUAACAUCACAUUCUUCCUCACCAUUGACUUGAAAAUUCAGCUAAGGCUAGGUAAUGGGAAAAAUGAAUGUUUUUCUACAUAUUUUGUUUACUAACAUGCUAAACUAACACUAAACACUAACAUAUAUCAAAAUCAAAUCAAUCCAACAAUUUUCUCUCUCUACACCCAUAUAACCAGCCAUUAAAUCACCAUAAAAACAUGCAAUUUAGUCAUGGAAAAUAAGGAGAAAUGCUUGGGAAUAAGAAAACUCAAGCUUAAUAGAAAAAAUCUUACCUUUUUCACUUAAUUUUCUUGAAAAUUCACACUUUUUCUUUGAUUUUCUCUCUCUAGGGUUUGGUUUUUAUUUUCUCUCUCUUCUUGCUGGUUUAGCCGACCAUGUGGUGGAAGA